UACAGAGGGUGCGAGCGUUGUCCGGAAUCACUGGGCGUAAAGGGCGCGUAGGUGGCGCCCCAAGUCAGUGGUGAAAGCUCGAUGCUCAACAUCGAGUCGGCCACUGAGACUGGGGGGCUCGAGCACUGUAGAGGCAGAUGGAAUUCCGGGUGUAGCGGUGGAAUGCGUAGAGAUCCGGAAGAACACCGGUGGCGAAGGCGGCUUGCUGGGCUCUGUCUGACGCUGAGGCGCGAAAGCGUGGGGAGCAAACGGG
rnacentral:rRNA from 1 species